AUUGAACGCUGGCGGCAUGCUUUACACAUGCAAGUCGAACGGCAGCGGGGAGGAGCUUGCUUCUCUGCCGGCGAGUGGCGAACGGGUGAGUAAUACAUCGGAACGUGUCGAGAAGAGGGGGAUAACCACCCGAAAGGGUGGCUAAUACCGCAUAAAUUCUGAGGAAGAAAGCUGGGGACCUAGGAAUAGGCCUAGCGCUUUUUGAGCGGCCGAUGUCGGAUUAGCUAGUUGGUGAGGUAAAGGCUCACCAAGGCGAAGAUCUGUAGCGGGUCUGAGAGGAUGAUCCGCCACACUGGGACUGAGACACGGCCCAGACUCCUACGGGAGGCAGCAGUGGGGAAGUUUGGACAAUGGGGGCAACCCUGAUCCAGCCAUGCCGCGUGUAUGAAGAAGGCCUUAGGGUUGUAAAGUACUUUUGUUAGGGAAGAAAAGUCAGCUGUGAAUAAUGGCUGAUACUGACGGUACCUAAAGAAUAAGCACCGGCUAACUACGUG
rnacentral:rRNA from 1 species